UUUACAUCAACUGCGGAGAGAGUGAUAACUCUCGAGGUAUUAGUGAUACAAAGAGUUGGAUUUUUUUGUGGCCAUCGUGAUGGAUUUCAAAUAUUUACUAGCGAGGCUCGCAGUCAAAUCUACUGACACUGGUGCAUGACUUGGUGCAGAAUAAUGUCGCUGGUAUCCCAGUUAUUCAUGAGAAAACUGAAUGGGACUUUGAUCCCAAUGACGGGAAAAUUCGCAGACGGCAGUACGAAGCAGU